GACGAACGCUGGCGGCGUGCUUAACACAUGCAAGUCGAACGGAAAGGCCCUGCUUUUGUGGGGUGCUCGAGUGGCGAACGGGUGAGUAACACGUGAGUAACCUGCCCUUGACUUUGGGAUAACUUCAGGAAACUGGGGCUAAUACCGGAUAGGAGCUCCUGCUGCAUGGUGGGGGUUGGAAAGUUUCGGCGGUUGGGGAUGGACUCGCGGCUUAUCAGCUUGUUGGUGGGGUAGUGGCUUACCAAGGCUUUGACGGGUAGCCGGCCUGAGAGGGUGACCGGCCACAUUGGGACUGAGAUACGGCCCAGACUCCUACGGGAGGCAGCAGUGGGGAAUAUUGCACAAUGGGCGGAAGCCUGAUGCAGCAACGCCGCGUGCGGGAUGGCGGCCUUCGGGUUGUAAACCGCUUUCGCCUGUGACGAAGCGUGAGUGACGGUAAUGGGUAAAGAAGCACCGGCUAACUACGUGCCAGCAGCCGCGGUGAUACGUAGGGUGCGAGCGUUGUCCGGAUUUAUUGGGCGUAAAGGGCUCGUAGGUGGUUGAUCGCGUCGGAAGUGUAAUCUUGGGGCUUAACCCUGAGCGUGCUUUCGAUACGGGUUGACUUGAGGAAGGUAGGGGAGAAUGGAAUUCCUGGUGGAGCGGUGGAAUGCGCAGAUAUCAGGAGGAACACCAGUGGCGAAGGCGGUUCUCUGGGCCUUUCCUGACGCUGAGGAGCGAAAGCGUGGGGAGCGAACAGGCUUAGAUACCCUGGUAGUCCACGCUGUAAACGGUGGGUACUAGGUGUGGGGUCCAUUCCACGGGUUCCGUGCCGUAGCUAACGCUUUAAGUACCCCGCCUGGGGAGUACGGCCGCAAGGCUAAAACUCAAAGGAAUUGACGGGGCCCCGCACAAGCGGCGGAGCAUGCGGAUUAAUUCGAUGCAACGCGUAGAACCUUACCAGGGUUUGACAUGGAUCGGGAGUGCUCAGAGAUGGGUGUGCCUCUUUUGGGGUCGGUUCACAGGUGGUGCAUGGCUGUCGUCAGCUCGUGUCGUGAGAUGUUGGGUUAAGUCCCGCAACGAGCGCAACCCUUGUUCACUGUUGCCAGCACGUUAUGGUGGGGACUCAGUGGAGACCGCCGGGGUCAACUCGGAGGAAGGUGGGGAUGACGUCAAGUCAUCAUGCCCCUUAUGUCCAGGGCUUCACGCAUGCUACAAUGGCUGGUACAGAGAGUGGCGAGCCUGUGAGGGUGAGCGAAUCUCGGAAAGCCGGUCUCAGUUCGGAUUGGGGUCUGCAACUCGACCUCAUGAAGUCGGAGUCGCUAGUAAUCGCAGAUCAGCAACGCUGCGGUGAAUACGUUCCCGGG
rnacentral:rRNA from 1 species